rnacentral:lncRNA from 1 species
AUGUCAGCUCAAAUUCGGCUUGAAAUUAAUUUCGAGCCUAAAUCUAGACUCAAGCUCGGCUUGAAAUUAAUUCAAGCCAAGCUCGAGCGAGCCUAAUUUCGAGUUGAGCCGAGCUCGAGCUCUAAACGAGCCGAUUGAAAUUCUCGACAUUAUAUAAUCAAUAGUUAAUUUUUUAUAGAACAUUACCUACAAUUUGAUGCAAUAUGUCCAAUAGUUCAAAAUACAAAAUAAUUGCAAGAAAUGUGAGCUAGGGUGACUGCCUGACUGGGUGAGAGUCUGUGAGAGAGAGAGAGAGAGAGAGAGAGAGAGAGAGAGAGAGAGAGAGAGAGAGAGGGGGGGGGGAAUUAGGGAUUUGGGAAUUUGAAUGUUAUCAUGUUUUAGGAUUAUGUGCAAUAGUUAAAGUCUGAAAGAGAGAGUGUGUUAUGUAAAUUUAGAGUUGGGCUCAAUUGCAUGGUUGUACUUGUUGGGUUUAUUUUAUGGGCCAACUAUAAUGGCCCAAAUUAAAUUAAAGCCUAUAUAUAAUUAAAAUACAUUUUAUAUAUAUAUAUAUCCCAAUGUUGCUAUCACGUUUUUAGCCAUUGGAUCUACUUUUUGAUUACAAAUAGCCCUUGGAUCAAACACUUUUCCACCUACCACCACCUACCACCAUCAUCUCAACCUCACAUC